rnacentral:rRNA from 1 species
UACGGAGGGUGCAAGCGUUGUUCGGAAUUAUUGGGCGUAAAGAGCGUGUAGGCGGUCGGGUAAGUCAGGUGUGAAAUACCUUGGCUUAACCAAGGAAGUGCAUUUGAAACUACUCGGCUUGAGUACGGGAGGGGAAAGCGGAAUUCCCGGUGUAGAGGUGAAAUUCGUAGAUAUCGGGAGGAACACCGGUGGCGAAGGCGGCUUUCUGGACCGAGACUGACGCUGAGACGCGAAAGCGUGGGGAGCAAAC